rnacentral:tRNA from 10 species
GCCGAGGUGGUGGAAUUGGUAGACGCGCAGCCUUGAGGUGGCUGUGUCCUAACGGACGUGCGGGUUCAAGUCCCGCUCUCGGCACCA